AUUGAACGCUGGCGGCAUGCUUUACACAUGCAAGUCGAGCGGUAGCGCGGGUGAGGGCAACUGAGCCUGGCGGCGAGCGGCGAACGGGUGAGUAAUAGAUAGGAACGUAUCCGGGAGUGGGGGAUAACUAGCCGAAAGGUUAGCUAAUACCGCAUAUUCUCUGCGGAGGAAAGCGGGGGGACUUCUAAACCGGGGGUAUCUGAGGGAUCAGGUGCUUCAGGUUUAGGAGCCUCGCGCUCGCGGAGUGGCCUAUCUCCGAUUAGCUAGUUGGUGAGGUAAAGGCUCACCAAGGCGACGAUCGGUAGCUGGUCUGAGAGGAUGAUCAGCCACACUGGGACUGAGACACGGCCCAGACUCCUAC
rnacentral:rRNA from 1 species